rnacentral:rRNA from 1 species
GUGGGGAAUAUUGCACAAUGGGGGAAACCCUGAUGCAGCAAUGCCGCGUGAAGGAUGAAGGUUUUCGGAUUGUAAACUUCUUUUGUACGGGACGAAACAAAUGACGGUACCGUAAGAAUAAGCCACGGCUAACUACGUGCCAGCAGCCGCGGUAAUACGUAGGUGGCAAGCGUUAUCCGGAUUUACUGGGUGUAAAGGGCGAGUAGGCGGGAUUGCAAGUCAGAUGUGAAAACUAUGGGCUCAACCCAUAGACUGCAUUUGAAACUGUAGUUCUUGAGUGAUGGAGAGGCAGGCGGAAUUCCCGGUGUAGCGGUGGAAUGCGUAGAUAUCGGGAGGAACACCAGUGGCGAAGGCGGCCUGCUGGACAUUAACUGACGCUGAGGCGCGAAAGCGUGGGGAGCAAACAGGAUUAGAAACCCUAGUAGUCC